UACGGAGGGUGCAAGCGUUGUCCGGAAUCACUGGGCGUAAAGGGCGCGUAGGCGGCUCGUGAAGGCUGUGGUGAAAGUCCGGGGCUCAACCUCGGAUCGGCCGUGGCGACUCGUGGGCUGGAGCACUGUAGAGGCGGGUGGAAUUCCGGGUGUAGCGGUGGAAUGCGUAGAGAUCCGGAAGAACACCAGUGGCGAAGGCGGCCCGCUGGGCAGUGGCUGACGCUGAGGCACGAAAGCGUGGGUAGCAAACAGG
rnacentral:rRNA from 1 species